UGAUGCCUAUCUCCUCUUAUAGAUUGAGAAUCUCACCGGAAAUCUCAGCAAAACCACACCGAGUCACACACCAACCACGGCCUCUUCCAUCAACACCAGCCAAACUUCCUCCUUCUCUCUCAGCCAAGUGUCCAAUACAUCUAUCGCUGCCCGCCAGUUGCCUGGCCCUCCUCCUCAGUGUUCAGGCAAUCAGGUGAUGCUUGAGGGCAGCUCGGAUUGCGGCUGCCCAUCAGACAUGCUGAAGAAGGGAGAUAUCUGUACUUGCCCACUUGGCUUCAUUCUUGAAGGAGCAGCAGGAUGCAAAGACAUUGACGAGUGUGGAGAAGACGCACCGUGUGGUCCUCACGCAAACUGCACCAACAUCCUCGGCUCCUACUCGUGCCAAUGUCACCGUGGUUACUUGAAGGGCGCAGAGGGAUGCCAGGGUCCGUCCGCAGCGAUGAUGUUUACGUCGACGAGUGUGCUGUGGCCGCGGUGACGGGCCUGCGAGCCUGCAAUGACAACGCGCAGUGUAUAAACACACUUGGCUCCUUCGGCUGUUCCUGCCCGGUGGGAUACGUCAUGGCUCAGAAUGAACAAAACUGUGAA